AAGAUGAAUAAUUCAUCACAUAAAAAUCAGCUAGAAUUUAUACACUAAUUCCAUAAGUGUUUAAAUCUAUAGUUUAUUAAUUGUGAACUAAUUAAAAGUAUAUGUAAACUAAGAUUCAAAUAAUAAAAAUUAUUUAAUAUAUGUACCUCACCCGUAUCACUCUCCAAAGUCACCGUCUUGAAACAUUGGUUGAACUUGCCAAGUAAUUCAAUCAAUCUAGUAUACCAGGAAAUGUCCAUAUUGUUGGAUUUGAAAGACAAAUGAACCUUUGGUAAGGUCAAAUUGUUUGAAG
rnacentral:misc_RNA from 1 species